CGUUCCCGGGCCUUGUACACACCGCCCGUCACAUCAUGGGAGUCACUUGCACCCGAAGUGCGCUUUGCGCCCUACGGUAUGAGUGGUAACUGGGAUG
rnacentral:rRNA from 1 species